rnacentral:rRNA from 1 species
UACGUAGGGGGCUAGCGUUGUCCGGAAUCAUUGGGCGUAAAGAGCGUGUAGGCGGCCCGGUAAGUCCGCUGUGAAAGUCGGGGGCUCAACCCUCGAAUGCCGGUGGAUACUGUCGGGCUAGAGUGCGGAAGAGGCGAGUGGAAUUCCUGGUGUAGCGGUGAAAUGCGCAGAUAUCAGGAGGAACACCGGUGGCGAAGGCGGGUCUCUGGGCCGAUACUGACGCUCAGGUGCGAAAGCCAGGGGAGCGAACGGG